AUACGAAAGGUGCAAGCGUUGUUCGGAUUUACUGGGCGUAAAGAGAGUGUAGGUUGUUUAUUAAGUCGGAUGUGAAAUCCCGGGGCUCAACCUCGGAACUGCAUUCGAUACUGAUAGGCUAGAGUUUGGGAGGGGUAAGCGGAAUUCCGUGUGUAGCAGUGAAAUGCGUAGAUAUACGGAGGAACACCUGAGGCGAAGGCGGCUUACUGGACCAAUACUGACACUGAGACUCGAAAGCGUGGGUAGCAAACAGGAUUAGAAACCCCUGUAGUCC
rnacentral:rRNA from 1 species